rnacentral:rRNA from 1 species
GGGAAACUGCCCGAUGGAGGGGGAUAACUACUGGAAACGGUAGCUAAUACCGCAUAACGUCGCAAGACCAAAGUGGGGGACCUUCGGGCCUCACACCAUCGGAUGUGCCCAGAUGGGAUUAGCUAGUAGGUGGGGUAAUGGCUCACCUAGGCGACGAUCCCUAGCUGGUCUGAGAGGAUGACCAGCCACACUGGAACUGAGACACGGUCCAGACUCCUACGGGAGGCAGCAGUGGGGAAUAUUGCACAAUGGGCGCAAGCCUGAUGCAGCCAUGCCGCGUGUAUGAAGAAGGCCUUCGGGUUGUAAAGUACUUUCAGCGGGGAGGAAGGCGGUGAAGUUAAUAGCUUCACCGAUUGACGUUACCCGCAGAAGAAGCACCGGCUAACUCCGUGCCAGCAGCCGCGGUAAUACGGAGGGUGCAAGCGUUAAUCGGAAUUACUGGGCGUAAAGCGCACGCAGGCGGUUUGUUAAGUUGGAUGUGAAAGCCCCGGGCUCAACCUGGGAACUGCAUCCAAAACUGGCAAGCUAGAGUACAGUAGAGGGUGGUGGAAUUUCCUGU